rnacentral:lncRNA from 1 species
AUGGCCGGAGUGGACUGUAUCCUGAAACUCGGAGGGAGCGCCUUGACGCAGAAGGACCAGCUGGAGACGCUGAAGGGGGCGUCGCUGCGGAAGGCGGCGGCCAUUGUCGCUCAGCUCCGCGGGGCCGGAGAGAAGCGCUGCAUUGUCGUGCACGGAGCAGGCUCCUUUGGACAUUUCCAAGCAAAGGAACAUGAUGUAUGCUCAGGAACCUCAAAAGGAUCAGCUGUGAGUGAGAGUUUGAGACGGGGACUGUGCUUGACCAGGCUUUCUGUCACCAAGUUGAACCAUCUGGUGACUGAAGAAUUUGUAAGCUGUGGAAUUCCAGCAGUGGGCAUUUCGGUUCUAGCUAUGAAAUUCUCUCCUAAGCGAGUUAUUUUUCUCACAGAUGUGAGUGGAAUUUAUAGCUGUCCACCCGGCACUGCAGGUGCUAGGCUUGUGGAUUUCAUUACUGUUCGCCCGGAUGGAACUAUGGAUCCAGCCGUACUCACAUCUGUGCGGCCACAUGAUACUACUGGAGGUGUAUCCUUGAAAUUACAAACUGCUGUAAAUAUAGUUUCUCAUAGCCGUGGAGCCAUUCCUGUUCUGAUCUGCAAACUGGACAGUGAAGCAGCAGAGAAGGCUUGCUUAACCGGAGAACUGAAGGAGGAUGAAGGCACAAAGUUUUCUUUCAUAGAAGCAUAA